AGACGCCUUCAAACUCCAUCUCCCAGAAUCCCCGGCGCUGCGCCAGGCAUUGCCGAGGCUUCUGGGAGAUGGAGUCCGGAAAUGGCUGGGCGGAGAAAGACACGUGGCGCUGCCGCCUUGCCCGCUGGAUUCUGAGGUGCCUUUUGACCAAGAAUCAUAGAAUAUACCAACAUCAUCAUCAACAACAAGCUGCUGAGUCUUGUCUUUGGAAAGCAAUGCAUCACCUUCCAAGGCUGGAAAUACUAUAAUAACAAAAGAAGGAAUUCCUGUUUGGGUUGCAAAGAAGACGAGCCUCGCCCUGGGAAAGUGAGGACGCAGCACCUGGCUGGCACUCCCCGGGGCACCUGGACUACAAUUCCCAUCGUUCGGGCGCCGCUGGUGAUGCUGACUCAGAAGCACAAUCCGAGCCCUCCCGACAGAUGGCCAUCCGGGCCACCACUUGCAGAGCGUGGCCGCUUAGCCUCAUAAAAUGAAGGAACUUUGCAAGAAAGGAAAACAAAGCCAAACCCUCAACAACAUGUUUGCAAAAGGGACUUCCUGCCCAGCGCGGCCCUGGCGCCUUCCUCUGGCCGCUGGCCAUGGUUGUCGGGAAGCGAAGGGGGGGAAAAGGAAGGGCUCGGAUUCGGCCAUGCAAUGCCCUCCGUGGAUGGGAACGAGAGGAAGAAAUACUGUAUUAUUAUUAUGAUUUCUUGACUGAGGUGGCAAGCAAAGCGAUGGGAGUUGUAGUAGUAGUGGAACUCACUGCCUCGGAGUCCAGGGGAGGUUCCAGGAUUCUGUUGUUGUACUCAGAGGCUGGAUGGCCAUCUGUUGGGAGUGCUUUCAUGGUGCCCAACAGUCGGGGGUUGGACUAGAUGGCCUUUGGGGUCCCUUCCAACUCUAGGAUUCUAUUAUUAUUAUUAUCAAUGAUGAUGAUGAUGAUGAUGUAAUCAGAGGCUGGAUGGCCAUCUGUUGGGAGUGCUUUGAUUGUGCUUUUCCCGUAUAGCAGAACGGGGUUGGCCUGGGUGGCCGUUAGUAAUCUUAUAAUAAUAAUGACAAUAACAAUAUAUAAUAAUAACUACAAUAAUAUGAGGCUUGAUGGCCAUCUGUUCGGAGUGCUUUGAUUGUGCUGUUCCUACAUGGCAGAAGGGAGUUGGACUGGAUGGCCUUUGGGGUCCCUUCUAACUCUAGGAUCCAAUAAUAAUAAUAAUAAUAAUAAUAAUAAUAAUAAUAAUAAUAAUAAUAAUACGAAAUCCAGCAUUUCUAUCUUGUUUGCUGUGUCAUAAUAAAAUAAUAAUAAUAAUAAUAGACAAAAAACCAGUACAAGAAAACCGCACUACAAACUAGAGCUGACAGCUGGCAGAACAAAACAUGGCAUGGAAAGUUCCUUGACAAAAUUGAAGGAAAAGCUGAUACGGAGAAGAUCUGGCUCUGGCUCACGAAUGGGACCCUGAAGAAGGAGACAGAAGGCCUGAUCCUUGCAGCCCAGGAGCAAGACAUCAGGACAAAGGCCAUUCAGGCCAAGAUCGAAAAAUCAGCUGAUGACCCAAAAUGCAGACUGUGCAAGGAAACCAACGAAACCAUGGAUCAUAUCCUCAGCUGCUGUAAGAAAAUCGCACAGACAGACUACAAACAGAGGCAUAACUGUGUGGCCCAAAGGAUUCAUUGGAACUUAUGCCUCAAGUACCACCUCCCAGCAGCAAAGAACUGGUGGGAUCACAAACCUGCAAAAGUCUUGGAAAAUGAGCACGCAAAGAUACUGUGGGACUUCCGAAUCCAGACUGACAAAGUUCUGGAACACAACACACCAGACAUCACAGUUGUGGAAAAGAAAAAGGUUUGGGUCAUUGAUGUCGCCAUCCCAGGUGAAAAACAACAGGAAAAACGCAGUCGCUCUCAGGACCUCAAGAUUGAAUUGAAAAGACUCUGGCAGAAACCAGUGCAGGUGGUCCCGGUGCUGAUCGGCACAUUGGUUUCCGUUCCAAAAGAUCUCAGCCGGCAUUUGGAAACAAUAGACAGUGACAAAAUUACGAUCUGCCAUCUGCAAAAGGCCACCCGACUGGGAUCUGCGCGCAUCUACAUCACACAGUCCUAGACACUUGGAAGUGUUCAACUUGUGAUUUUGUGAUACGAAAUCCAGCAUAUCUAUCUUGUUUGCUGUGUCAUACAAAUGUUGUUGUGUCAAUAAUAAUAAUAAUAACAACAGGAAAAACUCAGCCGCUCUCAGGACCUCAAGAUUGAACUUCAAAGACUUUGGCAGAAACCAGUGCAGGUGGUCCUGGUGGUGAUGGGCACACUGGGUGCCGUGCCAAAAGAUCUCAGCCGGCAUUUGGAAACAAUAGACAUUGAGAAAAUUACGAUCUGCCAACUGCAAAAGGCCACCCGACUGGGAUCUGCGCACAUCAUCCAAAAAUACAUCACACAAUCCUAGACACUUGGGAAGUGUUCGACUUGUGAUUGUGUGAUACGAAAUCCAGCAUAUC